rnacentral:tRNA from 1 species
GCCAAAGUGGUGUAGUGGUUUGAGCAUCGGACUAUGACUCUGGAGACCAGGGUUCUAAUCCUGGCUCAGCCG